CUGGAGGGCAGAGGAGGCGGCGCGGGGUGUCCUGUCCUCGCCAUGAGGCCGCAGCAGGCGCCGGUGUCCGGAAAGGUGUUCAUUCAGCGAGACUACAGCAAUUGAAAUUACCAUUUAUGAAGACAGAGGCAUGAGCAGUGGAAGAUAAACCGAAGAAUUAAAGAUCCCACUUCCAGCCGGGCCCCUCAUGUAUCCACUGGCCGACCGCAGAGUGUCCCUACCUCCUCUCCAGAGCAUCAUUCCUUUCUAUCUGCUGCCAGAGCCACGGUGCCAUUUACUCCAAGGACUCACUUUCUAAAAUUCCACACCUGGAGUGACCUCUAGUCGCUCAGCAUCCACUUUGUGUCUCCAAAUUGUGUAGGACUCUGUAAUCUUUUGAUUAGUUUCUGAGAAAACACAAUGAAGCACUUCACUUUUUUUUAUUCAAAGCCAUUUAAUAAAACACAGUUGGUCAGCCCAGUGCAAAGCUUGUUAUCUGCCACCAGUACAUACCAUUGGUUCUCUUCAUUCCUUGGGCCAGCUUCUCAGGUGGCUUUAGACCUCAACAAGCCGUAUCUUCACCAGUGUUCUAUCUUGUUCCCCUAAAUUAAUAAAAUGUUUUUCUCCAGGAUUUUGGUGAGGGUUGGCUGUGGCUGUCGUUUUGCACCUCCCAGAUUUCAAAGAAUUACUGGUUUUACCAUGACUCAAAUCUUAAGAUCUGUUUCUACUAUUCAGUUCCUCAAAC
rnacentral:lncRNA from 1 species